GACGAACGCUGGCGGCGUGCUUAACACAUGCAAGUCGAACGGAAAGGCCCUGCUUUUGUGGGGUGCUCGAGUGGCGAACGGGUGAGUAACACGUGAGUAACCUGCCCUUGACUUUGGGAUAACUUCAGGAAACUGGGGCUAAUACCGGAUAGGAGCUCCUGCUGCAUGGUGGGGGUUGGAAAGUUUCGGUGGUUGGGGAUGGACUCGCGGCUUAUCAGCUUGUUGGUGGGGUAGUGGCUUACCAAGGCUUUGACGGGUAGCCGGCCUGAGAGGGUGACCGGCCACAUUGGGGCUGAGAUACGGCCCAGACUCCUACGGGAGGCAGCAGUGGGGAAUAUUGCACAAUGGGCGGAAGCCUGAUGCAGCAACGCCGCGUGCGGGAUGACGGCCUUCGGGUUGUAAACCGCUUUCGCCUGUGACGAAGCGUGAGUGACGGUAAUGGGUAAAGAAGCACCGGCUAACUACGUG
rnacentral:rRNA from 1 species